rnacentral:tRNA from 1 species
UUAAGUGUUGCUGAGUGGUUUAAAGCGAUAGAUUGCUAAUCUAUUAAAUGUUAUUCAUUUCGCAAGUUCGAAUCUUGUCACUUAAG